AGCUUUUCGAAUCCGUGCUGAGAUUUUGUUAGACACCAACCCAUCAGAACUGAUCAGACUUCCAAGAUAAGUUGUCAACGCG
rfam:Schistosoma margrebowiei strain Zambia genome assembly, scaffold: SMRZ_contig0000307